UACGAGGGGGGCAAAUGUUGUUCGGAAUCACUGGGCGUAAAGGGUGCGUAGGCGGUCUUCUAAGUUGGAUGUUUAAACCCGGGGCCCAACCCCGGAUCGGCAUCCAAAACUGGAAGUCUUGAAUAGUGGAGAGGACGGCGGAAUUGGGGGUGUAGCGGUGGAAUGCGUAGAGAUCCCCAAGAACACCAGUUGCGAAGGCGGCCGUCUGGACACAUAUUGACGCUGAGGCUCGAAAGCAUGGGGAGCAAACAGG
rnacentral:rRNA from 1 species